GAUGAACGCUGGCGGCGUGCCUAAUACAUGCAAGUAGAACGCUGAAGGAGGAGCUUGCUCUUCUGGAUGAGUCGCGAACGGGUGAGUAACGCGUAGGUAACCUGCCUGGUAGCGGGGGAUAACUAUUGGAAACGAUAGCUAAUACCGCAUGACAACAGGUAUUGCAUGAUAACUGUUUAAAAGGGGCAACUGCUCCACUACCAGAUGGACCUGCGUUGUAUUAGCUAGUUGGUGCGGUAACGGCUCCCCAAGGCGACGAUACAUAGACGACCUGAGAGGGGGGUGCGCCACCCUGGGACUGGGACACGGGCCCGACUCCUACGGGAGGCCGCAGUAGGGAAUCUUCGGCAAUGGACGGAAGUCCUGCCGAGCAAAGCCGGCGUGGUGGAGGAAGUUUUCCGAUCGGAAAACUCUGUUGAAAGAGGAGAACGAGUGGUAGGGUGAAAAGUUCACGUUUUGACGGUAUCUAACCAGAAAGGGACGGCUAACUACGUG
rnacentral:rRNA from 1 species